rnacentral:rRNA from 1 species
AAAUUGAAGAGUUUGAUCAUGGCUCAGAUUGAACGCUGGCGGCAGGCCUAACACAUGCAAGUCGAGCGGAAACGAGUUAUCAGAACCUUCGGGGGACGAUAACGGCGUCGAGCGGCGGACGGGUGAGUAAUGCCUAGGAAAUUGCCCUGAUGUGGGGGAUAACCAUUGGAAACGAUGGCUAAUACCGCAUGAUGCCUACGGGCCAAAGAGGGG